rnacentral:misc_RNA from 1 species
GUAUUUUGUUAUAAAUUUAACACAUACACAGACUAUGAAUGGGUUUGAGAAGUAGCCACCCCGAGGGGCGGCGUGAGUGUGCACUCAUUAUCGGCCUGAGCCGACGUGAUUCAAUGAUGAUCCUUCCGCAGGUUCACCUACGGAAA